UUAGGGUACUAAAUUAAAGCCAUCUUUUCAUCUCAAAGACACAUAAUCUGCUAUUAAUUUAAACUGUAACCUUUUCCCUUCUUAGGUCAUGCUCUUAAACCUCAGGUCUCUUCUAUUUUUACAUCAUUUUUGGAUGGAUUAAAAAAGUUUUAUAUUACAAAGGUAAGACUAAAAAAAUCUAAAAUUGUGCAUGUAUAGGACAUGAGUUUUCUUCUUGCCUUCUGGCCAUACAUACCUCCCCAAAGGCUUUUUUUCCAUGCUGUGUUGUGUUUUAUGUUGGAGCUGGUAUGUUAGUUAGCAACUGGACUGUGCAGUCCGUUUCAAAAGCCUUAGUCUGUGCUUCUCAAGUCUGAAAAGAGUCCUGCAUUGAGCAGUCUCGAGCUGACCACAUUUUCUGUACUUUGAAUUUUCUUUACAGUUGUACUGAGAAGUGAAAUGCGGGUGGGUUCAUUUGCUCAUUUAACCUUUGAUUUCUGAGAACUGAGAAGUUGAAAGUGGUUACUAGUGUGUAUCGCCAUGGCAACAGUGUGUGUCAUUUUGUUGUUGUAGCCAUGGGGCUUUGCUACUAUUGGACUUAUUUAGGCAAUACUUCUGGAAACUCUAAGAGAUUGAACCAAUCUCCAUCUUUGUCUUUUCAUGGUAUAAUUUUGUGUAAAUUAGUAAGUGUAGUCCUUGUGCUAGGGACAGUAACUUGUUUCUCACUGUGUUUUGAUACACACCCUUUGAGUAAUGGAAUUAUCAGGUGCCCUUUGCAUGGAUUUGGUAAAUAAUGUUUUUCCAAUCAAGCACCUCUCUUUUUAAUAGUUUUUUUUCUUUUUGAUGUCAUGGAUUCAAGUUUAUGUAUUUUCCUAUGACUGAUCACUUCUAAGCUGAGAAAACACUUUCUCUUCUAGUAUGCUGAGGACAUUUCACUCUCCCACCCCCAUCAUGUUCUUGUUUUGUGUUGUUUGUGCUGCAAAUGAAACUUAGAAUCUCAUAUACUAAGUAUGAGGUCUGCCAUUAAGCUAUAUCAUAUCCCUUACCUGGUUUAAUUAACACAGAGUUUUGUUGUGGUUGGUUUUUGUUGUUUUUGUUUAUUGUGUGUGUGUUGUUUUUAUUUUAUUUUGAGCACUUGCUACUAGAUGAAGAUCUAGAUUGAUCUUCACCUCCUCCUUCCCUGUUGCUGACCCUUGUGUCACCACUAGUGACUGUGAGUAAUGCCUGCUUCUUUUUUCAUUGAUGCCUAAGGCAUCUUAUUAUAUACACUACUACCCCAGAAGACACCACUUUGACACAGUUCCUAAUGCUUUGAAAUAGUGUCUGUUUUGGUUUUGAAAAGUUAAAAAGAUACAAGCUUGUUUUUUCUUUUUCUUUUAUUAUUUGGAAUUUUCUUUGUUACCACCAUCACCUGUUUUGUUCAUUAUUC
rnacentral:lncRNA from 1 species